GGGGAUAACAUUCCUAACGGGGUGCUAAUACCGGAUAUUCCGGCGAGUCGCAUGGCAUGCUGGCAAAGGGGGCCUCUGAUUCAAGCUCUCGCAUCUGGAUGGUCCCGCCUCCCAUUAGCUUGUUGGUGGGGUAACGGCCUACCAAGGCGACGAUGGGUAGCCGGCCUGAGAGGGUGUCCGGCCACACUGGGACUGAGAUACGGCCCAGACUCCUACGGGAGGCAGCAGUCGAGAAGCUUCGGCAAUGGGCGAAAGCCUGACCGAGCGACGCCGCGUGAGGGAUGAAGGCCCUACGGGUUGUAAACCUCUGUCAGGAGGGGAUAAAGCGCCGUGGUCAAUACCCACUGCGCCUGAAGGUACCUCCAAAGGAAGCUCCGGCUAACUCCGUGCCAGCAGCCGCGGUAAUACGGAGGGAGCGAACGUUGUUCGGAUUUACUGGGUGUAAAGGGUGCGUAAGCGGCUACGUGUGUCAGAGGUGGAAAGCUCACGGGUCUACCGUGGAAUUGCCUUUGAAACUGCGUAGCUUGAGUCCGAGAGAGGAUGAUGGCAUUCCUGGUGUAACGGUGACAUGUGCAGAUAUCAGGAAGAACACCGGUGGCGAAGGCGGUCAUCUGGCUCGGUACUGACGCUGAGCAACGAUAGCUAGGGUAUCAAACGGAAUUAGAUACCCCGGUAGUCCUAGCCGUAACGUAUGUCCACUAGUUGUCGGAGGUUCUACCCCUUCGGUGCCGCAGCUAACGCAUUAAGUGGACCACCUGGGGAGUACGCUCGCAAGGGUGAAACUCAAAGGAAUUGACGGGGGCCCGCACAAGCGGUGGAGCAUGUGGUUNAAUUCGAUGCAACGCGAAGAACCUUACCUGGGCUUGACAUGCAGGGACAAGGUGUAGAGAUACACCCUUCUUCGGACUCCUGUACAGGUGCUGCAUGGCUGUCGUCAGCUCGUGUCGUGAAA
rnacentral:rRNA from 1 species